rnacentral:sRNA from 1 species
UGAACGGAACGUGGACGCGGUGCGGGA